ACGAACGCUGGCGGCAUGCCUAAUACAUGCAAGUCGAACGAGAUCUUCGGAUCUAGUGGCGCACGGGUGCGUAACGCGUGGGAAUCUACCCUUGGGUUCGGAAUAACAGUUAGAAAUGACUGCUAAUACCGGAUGAUGACGUAAGUCCAAAGAUUUAUCGCCCAAGGAUGAGCCCGCGUAGGAUUAGCUUGUUGGUGAGGUAAAAGCUCACCAAGGCGACGAUCCUUAGCUGGUCUGAGAGGAUGAUCAGCCACACUGGGACUGAGACACGGCCCAGCCUCCUACGGGAGGCAGCAGUAGGUAAUAUUGGACAAUGGGGGAAACCCUGCUCCAGCAAUGCCGCGUGAGUGAUGAAGGCCUUAGGGUUGUAAAGCUCUUUUACCCGAGAUGAUAAUGACAGUCUCGGGAGAAUACGCUCCGGCUCCCUCCGU
rnacentral:rRNA from 1 species